CAAAAAAAAGUGAAAUUUAGUAAUAACCUACUCCCUCAACCUACUCUUGUAAAGUAAUUUUUAUAUUUAUUUUCGCAAAAAAAAAACAGUAGAUAAAGGUGUCAUUUUUUGAAAGUGUUAUUUUGUGUAUUUCACUUUGUGCUAACCAAACAUCACCUAAUUAAAUAAAAGUGAAAUGACUAUACCAAUCAUAUUUGAUUAAUUCAACCUGAUUAAAUGUGAGAGAAAAUAAAGAAAAAGUUAAGAGUCUGACAAAUUUCAAACUCAAGAUGUUCUCCUGUUGCCAUGCCAUGUAUAAUUAUGUAAACCAAUAUUAUUUUUAAAAAAAUUAAUUAAGUUACUAUAGAAUAAUAUUUUUAAUAUUUUAUAUUCAACAUGGUGAUUAGAUUAGGAAUUCAAUAUAUGUAAGU
rnacentral:lncRNA from 1 species